rnacentral:rRNA from 1 species
GACGAACGCUGGCGGCGUGCUUAACACAUGCAAGUCGAACGGAAAGGCCCUGCUUUUGUGGGGUGCUCGAGUGGCGAACGGGUGAGUAACACGUGAGUAACCUGCCCUUGACUUUGGGAUAACUUCAGGAAACUGGGGCUAAUACCGGAUAGGAGCUCCUGCUGCAUGGUGGGGGUUGGAAAGUUUCGGCGGUUGGGGAUGGACUCGCGGCUUAUCAGCUUGUUGGUGGGGUAGUGGCUUACCAAGGCUUUGACGGGUAGCCGGCCUGUGAGGGUGACCGGCCACAUUGGGACGGAGAUACGGCCCAGACUCGUACGGGAGGCAGCAGUGGGGAAUAUUGCACAAUGGGCGGAAGCCUGAUGCAGCAACGCCGCGUGCGGGAUGACGGCCUUCGGGUUGUAAACCGCUUUCGCCUGUGACGAAGCGUGAGUGACGGUAAUGGGUAAAGAAGCACCGGCUAACUACGUG